CUUUAACAUAAUAUCAAAUCACACACUUCACUGCAGCCUCAUGUUUUCAUCUGAGCGGAGGAUGUCUGGAGGCUGUGAGAGGACAUAAUGAUGGACAGCAGAGUCUAUCAGCAGUGUGUGUCUGUGUCUUUGUCUCUCUGUGUCUGUGUCUCUUUGUGUCUCUGUGUCUGAGUCUCUUUGUAUCUCUGUGUCUGAGUCUCUUUGUAUCUUUGUGUCUGGACUGUUUGACAGGCUGUCAGGAGCAGCCAGGAGGACUUCACACAGUUAGCCAUGGGAGGCUAGCUAGCAGCCAGCAGAGACUCCACAUGACACAAAUAAACAGUGCAGAGAGAAACAGAGCAGCAUGUUUAAGUGUUAAAGGAGGAACUCUGGUCCUGUGGAACAUGUAAAGUGUCACCAGAUGGUUCUAAGAGACCGUGAAAGAACAAAAACAGUCCAACAGAUCUUCUCCUGUAAUGUCGUACAGAGACACUGGUUGGCGCCAAAGGACACCAAAUACACCAGACAGACCUGACAGAAGACUGGACUGCAAAAAGUUCUGUUAGUUUCUUAAAUAUGAGUUUUGGGUACUUCUA
rnacentral:lncRNA from 1 species